rnacentral:rRNA from 1 species
UACGUAGGGUGCAAGCGUUAAUCGGAAUUACUGGGCGUAAAGCGUGCGCAGGCGGUUUUGUAAGUCUGUCGUGAAAUCCCCGGGCUCAACCUGGGAAUUGCGAUGGAGACUGCAAGGCUAGAAUCUGGCAGAGGGGGGUAGAAUUCCACGUGUAGCAGUGAAAUGCGUAGAGAUGUGGAGGAACGACCGAUGGCGAAGGCAGCCCCCUGGGUCAAGAUUGACGCUCAUGCACGAAAGGCGUGGGGAGCAAACAGGAUUAGAGUACCCGAGUAAG